GACGAACGCUGGCGGCGUGCUUAACACAUGCAAGUCGAACGGAAAGGCCCUGCUUUUGUGGGGGGCUCGAGUGGCGAACGGGUGAAUAACCCGUGAGUAACCUGCCCAUGACUUUGGGAUAACUCCAGGAAACUGGGGCUAAUACCGGAUAGGAGGUCCUGCUGCAUGGGGGGGGUUGGAGAGUGUCGGCGGUUGGGGAUGGACUAGGGGCUUAUAAGCCGGUUGGUGGGGUAGUGUCUGACCAGGGCAUUGACGGGUAGGAGGCCGGCGGGGGGGACCGGCAACAUUGGGGCGACUGAACGGCCCAGACGCCUACGGGGGGCAGCAGUGGGGAAUAAUGCACCAUGGUCGGAGACCUGAUGCAGCAACGCCGCGUGCGGGAGGACGGCCGUCGGGUUGUAAACCGCUUUCGCCUGUGACGAAGAGAGAGUGACGGUAAUUGGUAAAGAAGCACCGGCUAACUACGUG
rnacentral:rRNA from 1 species